rnacentral:hammerhead_ribozyme from 1 species
AUCCAGCUGGCGAGUCCCAAAUAGGACGAAACCCGCGUCAAACUGGGU